rnacentral:rRNA from 1 species
AUUGAACGCUGGCGGCAGGCCUAACACAUGCAAGUCGAGCGGAUGAAGGGUGCUUGCUCCUGGAUUCAGCGGCGGACGGGUGAGUAAUGCCUAGGAAUCUGCCUGGUAGUGGGGGAUAACGUCCGGAGACGGGCGCUAAUACCGCAUACGUCCUGAGGGAGAAAGUGGGGGAUCUUCGGACCUCUUGCUAUCAGAUGAGCCUAGGUCGGAGUAGAUAGAUGGUGGGGUAAAGGCCUACCAAGGCGACGAUUCGUAACUGGUCUGAGAGGAUGAUCAGUCACACGGGAACUGAGACGCGGUCAAGACUCCUACGGGAGGCAGCAGUGGGGAAUGUUAGACAAUGGGCGAAAACCUGGUCCAGCCGUGCCGCGUGUGUGAAGAAAAUCUUCGGAUUGUAAAGCACUUUAAGUUGGGAGGAAGGGCAGUAAGUUGAUACCUAGCUGUUUUGACGGUACCGGCAGAAUAAGCACCGGCUAACUACGUG